rnacentral:rRNA from 1 species
AGCUCCAAUAGCGUAUAUUAAAGUUGUUGCAGUUAAAAAGCUCGUAGUUGGAUUUCGGAACGGGCCAGUUGGUCCGCCGCAAGGUGUGUACUGACUGGUUUGUUCUUCUUCGCAAAGACUGCGUGUGCUCUUUAUUGAGUGUGCGUAGGAUUUACGACGUUUACUUUGAAAAAAUUAGAGUGUUCAAAGCAGGCUAUCGCUUGAAUACAUGAGCAUGGAAUAAUGGAAUAGGACUUUGGUCCUAUUUUGUUGGUUUUCGGAACUAGAGGUAAUGAUUAAGAGGGACAGACGGGGGCAUUCGUAUUGCGGUGUUAGAGGUGAAAUUCUUGGAUCGCCGCAAGACGAACUACUGCGAAAGCAUUUGCCAAGAAUGUUUUCAUUAAUCAAGAACGAAAGUAGG